GAUAAGGGAGAUCACACAAAAUUUUGGUGAUGAAGCUUUGAUUUGGGAGGGUUCAUUUGGUAGAGUGUAUUUUGGUGUCCUAAAGAAUGAGAGAAGCACAGCUGUAAAAAAAUUAGAUUCAAGCAAGCAGCCAGACCAAGAGUUUUUGCCACAGGUUUCCAUGGUGUCACGGCUGAAGCAUGAGAAUGUCGUGGAGUUGGUUGGUUACAGUGUUGAAGGAAAUCUCCGUCUGUUAGCAUAUGAGUUUGCUACAAUGGGGUCUCUCCAUGACAUUCUUCAUGGACGAAAAGGAAUUAAAGGAGCACAACCAGGACCAGUGUUGUCAUGGCUCCAAAGAGUUAAAAUUGCUGUCGGAGCAGCAAAAGGAUUGGAAUACCUGCAUGAGAAAGCCCAGCCUCAUAUCAUUCAUCGUGAUAUAAAGUCAAGAAAGUGAAAGUGAGGAUGAUGGUCUUGACAUGGGUGAUGAUGAUGAUGUUGAGGAACCUGAAAAUGAACCAGAGGCUGUUAGGAAAGAACCAACCAUUGAGAAACCUACUCCUGUUUCAGCACCACCCAAAGAUGCUGAAAGGCAACUGUCAAAGAAGGAGCUUAAGAAAAAGGAAAUGGCAGAGUUGGAUGCACUUCUACAUGAAAUGGGCAUUGCAAAUAAAGAUAGUAAUACUGCACAAAAUGAGACAGCUGACAAGAAGCAAUUGGAGUAAAGUAGUGAAGGGGAGA